GGAGGAUUAGCUCAGCUGGGAGAGCAUUUGCCUUACAAGCAGAGGGUCGGCGGUUCGAGCCCGUCAUCCUCCACCA
rnacentral:tRNA from 1 species